UACGAAGGGGGCUAGCGUUGCUCGGAAUCACUGGGCGUAAAGGGUGCGUAGGCGGGUCUUUAAGUCAGGGGUGAAAUCCUGGAGCUCAACUCCAGAACUGCCUUUGAUACUGAGGAUCUUGAGUUCGGGAGAGGUGAGUGGAACUGCGAGUGUAGAGGUGAAAUUCGUAGAUAUUCGCAAGAACACCAGUGGCGAAGGCGGCUCACUGGCCCGAUACUGACGCUGAGGAGCGAAAGCGUGGGUAGCAAACAGG
rnacentral:rRNA from 1 species